CUUCUCAGUUGCCGGGAUACCCUCUGUGAUCACUCUGCAAUUGAGUAGUGAACACAGCUGGUGGUAUCUCAGUGACUGGGUGGGC
rnacentral:pre_miRNA from 1 species